GGGGAUUUCGCUCAGUGGCAGAGCGCUUGCCUAGCAAGCACAAGGCCCUGGGUUCGGUCCCCAGCUCCG
rnacentral:tRNA from 1 species